AGCUCCUGAAACACUUCAAUUUGUGCUUUUUAAUAACAAGUUAAGUUUUUAUGCAAAUUUACAAUUUUUUUGUGACAUUAGCAACAUGAAUUCCUCUGUUUCCUUCGUAUCCAGCACACCGACAGACAAAAGGCUCCGCCCCAUUUGUUUCAUAAACACAACAACAACACAAGAAGAAAUUAUGAAAACGCACACAACAGGACCUGAAACACAACAACACACAAAAGAAACAGCAUCAUAUUGAAUGUUUUAGCUUCAGGUUUCUGUGCUGACGACAUGUCACAUGCUCUGCAGGGAGUCCUGACCCUGCCUGUGUGUGUGUGUGUGUGUUUAUUUAAGGUGUGGCUGUGUGUGUGUGUGUGUGUGUGUGUGUGUUUGCCUGCAGGUUGUGUGCACUUGGAUUAAACGGUUGCUGCAACUUCAAACAGAAAAACGAGUCAGAUGUGAAUCAGCUACUGUCAGCUGACACACACACACACACACACACACACACAGCCAGCAGAGGGCGCACUGUCUCAAUCAUAACCUCAUCAUUUAUUCUGUGAAGGUGUUAGAAAACUUCACUGUCCUGUUUCAGCUCAUGUUUGAGGGAAUUCAAACCUGCGGCCACGUGUUGUGUUGCUUUCAGGCACAAAGACAUGCAUGCACGCACACGCACAAACAAACACACACACACACACAUACACACACACACACUCUUUGUAUUUAUGAAUGAAAGCAGAAACCAGAGUGGCUUUGGUUUAUAUGACGCAAUAAAACACAAGAAAAACAA